CAGCAGCCGCGGUAACACGGAGGAUCCAAGCGUUAUCCGGAAUCAUUGGGUUUAAAGGGUCCGUAGGCGGUCUUGUAAGUCAGUGGUGAAAGCCCAUCGCUCAACGGUGGAACGGCCAUUGAUACUGCAGGACUUGAAUUAUUGGGAAGUAACUAGAAUAUGUAGUGUAGCGGUGAAAUGCUUAGAGAUUACAUGGAAUACCAAUUGCGAAGGCAGGUUACUACCAAUUGAUUGACGCUGAUGGACGAAAGCGUGGGUAGCGAACAGGAUUAGAUACCCGCGUAGUCCCUGUCUCUUAUAC
rnacentral:rRNA from 1 species